rnacentral:lncRNA from 1 species
GGGAACAAGGAAAACUCCACAUAUUUCCAUCAACAAUUGUUUGAAACUUAUGAAAAUAAAAAUAACUUUAUGUCAUGAGACAAAUGUAAAAGAACACUACACUAUAACAAAUUACCAAUUAGUUCACGCAAUUACACUAUAAUAAUGAUUUAUAAAAUGAAUCAUCAUCAUCAUCAUACAUAUAAUAUCAGAGUGGGGCACACUAUUAGUCUAUUAGUCAAGUGGGGAAAUGCCAUUUUUCUCAAGCAUUCAAAGUAUACCAAUUUUGUGAUUAUUAAUUCAAAGCAAUGUAGUCAAACUCUAUAUCCUACCUAGGAUUGGAAGGGGUUGUAACUUCUAACACAAGGAUCAUAACACAGAUGAUAAGAUGCUAGCGAAGGGCAAAACUAAAUGUGUACACACUCACACAAACACACACAUGAAAACAACAUCAUUAUAUAAGAAGAAAAUAAUCUCUAAAUUAGAACAAUAAACUAUGUCAAUUAAAAAUUCAUAACCAUAGAUACAUAAGAGUACUCACAUAUUUCUUACGACCAUAUCCCUCAUCAUCAUCACCACGCCUCUCAGAACCAUAGCUCGGUUUCUCCUCAUCAUCACUCCUUCCAUAGCUAGUUUUCCUCCCAUAGCUUGGCUUCUCCUCGUCAUCACUCCUUCCAUAGCUAGGUUUCCUCUCAUACUCAGUCCUCCCAUAGCUCGGCUUCUCCUCAUCAUCACUCCUUCCAUAGCUAGGUUUCCUCUCAUAUUCACUCCUCCCAUAGCUUGGCUUCUCCUCCUCAUCACUCCUCCCAUAGCUUGGCUUCUCCUCCUCAUCACUCCGUCCAUAGCUAGUUUUCCUGCCAUAGCUCGGCUUCUCCUCCUCAUCACUCCUUCCAUAGCUAGGCUUCCUCUCAUACUCACUCCUUCCUCCUCCAUACCCUUCUUCCUCCCCAUAACCACUCUUCUUCCUCCCCGAUCCAUACUCCGAUUCACCACUCUCAUACUCAUUCUUCCGCCCAUAACCCUCACUCUCCUCCUCAUUCUUUCUCCCACCAUAACCAGACCCAUAUCCAGAUUCUUGCUUCCUUCCACCAUAACCAGACCCAUAACCACUUUCCUCAUUCUUUCUACCAUAUUCAGACUCCUGGGCCCCACCAUAUCCUGACCCAUAUCCAGAUUCUUGCUUCCUCCCACCAUAACCAGACCCAUAUUCAC